rnacentral:misc_RNA from 1 species
GAUGGCCGAGGCUAGGGAAAAAGUGGGAAAGAAGAUAUAAAUAUAAAAUAGUAGUAUAUAACCUCUUAAAUAGCCUUUAAAUUGAUUUUAUUAUAAUAUACGUAUGUUAAUAACAGUCUUUGUUGUCAACAUUAUAUGUUCAUAGAAAGACUGUAUCAAAUACAAAAUGACAAGAAUCUUAUGUGGCUUCUUAAUGUUGCAUAAAUUGCGAAAUGGUAAUUUUGAUACAAAUGGAUGUGCAUUGUGCAUAAAUAAAGUUUAACAAUCUUCCAUCAUCUCUCAUUCUUCACGUCGUGCUGCUCAAAUACCAAUAUGUUGCUGUAUGCGUGAGGCUCACUGGCUUCAUGGUACUUAGAUCUUCAUAACACUUCGAUUUUUAGUACAUAUUAUACGUGUACAGUGCUUGUUUGACGCAGAGCAGAAAUGAGUACUCGGGUGUUAAACGAUAUUCAUAAUGAUCUAAAGCAGCUUAUAACAGCGGUUACAUCAUUUGAGGAGGAUGAAGAAGGGUUUCGCAUAUGCGAACGAUUCUGCUUGUCGAAUAUCAAGCAUCAUCGCUAUCUUUCCGUCAACAGUCACGCAACCAAGGAGGCUAUAAGUGCGUUAGUUACCAAAUUCUCCAUCCAUGGAAAAUACGAAGUUGCGAAGAAGUUUCGGGAACUGAUCGAUGCCUUCUUGUCAAGCUUCGACUUUGAGCAGCAUCCGCAAUACGACCUGCAGUGGUCAUUGCUAACGUUCUUGCUGGACUUGUCCACCGAGACUCACAAGUCUAAUUUAGACAGCUUGAGGCUCGCGCGUGGGGAGUACAGUUUCAAUUUAGCCGCUGGAAAUGAUGACAGCAACAUAGAAGAGAUAGACUGGGCGCAGUACUUGAAGGAAGGCCAGGAGAAUUUCUUUUGCGACUAUAAGAGCGAUGGCAGCGAGAGUGAAUGGUCCGAUGAGGAAGGAACUGACGAAACUGAUGUCUUGCCGAUGCAAAUAGCUAAUGCACAAUUAAAUACCGCGCAGCGAUCGCAAGCAGUCGCCGAUAACGUAAUCGAUAAAUUCUCCAGAGCGUUAGUGCAAAGUCUCGAGUCCAGAAAGUGGCUCGCGUCGAACGUUCAAACCGAUUGGUGGAACAAUUUGGAAUGUCAAAAGUAUCCCGUUGCCAUACGAUCUUGCGAUACCAAUAUAUGUGACAUCUGGCACGGCACAAACUCGACGGCCUGGCAGAAGGUAGCCACUCUCAGCGAAUAUCAAGUCUGCAGAGAGUUACUGUGGAUGUUUCACGUUCAGACGUCAAUGGUGGUGUUUCAGGAGAGCGAACCGAAAUUCUCAAUACGUCCCAACAUAUCCAUACCGAGCUUGACAACUACAGCGUUUGAAAGCAUUCUUUCACCAUUUUGCGAGUGCUUCUCGAUGAUACAUGAUAUUCAGAAAUUUGGAGCUGAUCUGCAACCAAUUUGUAAUGAAAAAUCAGAACUUCAGAGUCCUCCUUUGACUUACGAAGCAUACAAUGCAGCAGUCAAUCAGCACUUGUAUGAAUUUCGAACUAAAGUGAUUAACGUAGAAAAAGAUGUUAUGAAGCAAGAGAAUUGCAAUACACUGCUAUCGUUAUCAGCUGAUCUCAGGAAACACCUAAAUACUAUAAGGAUACUCUACGACAUACACAAGAGAGUUGUAAUCGAUUGGAAAGCUAGUCCUAAUUGGAAAUGCGCGUCCCGACUGUUAUCGUGCUUGUACUACGAGAUGCAGAACUCUCCUAGCCGGGAGAGAGCAAACAUUUGUACAAAUUUGUAUUUAUGUAGCCUAACCGUUUAUCUUAAUGUAAUCGAUACGUGGUUGAGUGAGGGUCGAUUGGAAGACUGGAGGGAUGAGUUUAUAAUUGUGAGAUCGGAAGAUGCAUCAGGGGAAAACGACGAACAGAGUGAAAAAUUCAUAGUUCGGUUAUCUAACAAUGUCUCAACGGAUCCAGUUAUGCAAUUCUUAUUGCAAAAGGUGCAACGUAUGGGACAUAGUAUCGAGCUGCUCAUCUCCCUGGAUCGAAUCACCGAUAUAUGGAGGAUGGAUGGUGAACACAAUGACACGAGAAUUUCAUUAAACACCGAAUUUCAAGACAAAUUAUUAUCGGAAAUAUCUAAAUACAGUCCACCGAGUGAGGAGAUAGACGCAUCCACGCUGCAAACAGAUGAAAUAUUAUUACAGGAAUAUGACGCCGAUAUGGAAAAGAAUAUAGUACAACAAUUAUCAACUUCGCACAAUCCAUUUUUCAUGAAAGCUAUGGAAGACUACCUGCCCUGUGAAUUGUAUAAGAGUGAUACGGUGGAUGCUCAUACGCAGAAUACUCGGCAGCCUAAGGCAAAGCAAAAGCAAAUGUAUCAUUUAUACAAAAGGCUACAAAAGAUUAAGUAUAUUUUACCAUUGCAAAACAUUCUGGAGAAUACACUGUCCGAGAUGUUAAGUUUGCGCUACAACAGCGCUAGCAGAUUAGUAAAAAAUAUCAUGGUCGAGGAAUACAAACUACAAACGCAUCUACAGCUGUUAAGGCUCGUUUAUAUGAUGGAAGCGGGACAUGUGAUGAACAAAUUCUAUCAAAUCUUAUUUUACGAGAUUGAAAAUAAUCAAAUGUGGGCUAACUCGUACUUUUUAUCGUGUAUUCUUGAAGAAAUAUUUUCUCAGUACUGGCCAAAUACAAGUUCACGCUGGUCCGUUAUGGUUCACGGCAAUGUCAAUACUCAUCAAGUAUUACAAGCUGUGAAUAGCAUAACACUGCAUUAUGCAGUGGAGUGGCCUAUAAGCAUAAUGCUGACCAAGAAGGUCUUGGAAAAAUACAAUGAGAUAUUCAGAUUUCACUUGAAGCUGAAAUGGGCUUUAUGGACGUUAAAUAAUUUGAGAUUUUCUGAUCUAGAGGGUUCUAGGUCGCCACGUGUGAGAGAUAGAUUGGAACAAUUUCAUAUAAGGCGUCUCGAAAGUUUAAGAUUUUGGCUGCUACAUGCGAUAGGAUCUAUCCACACGUACCUGUCCGGUCAGGUGUUACAGAGUUUAGGUUUCAUCCUGGAAAAAGAUCUCGCGCAAGCCGAUAGUCUCGAUACCAUUGUAUCAGCGAACAUUUUGCAGUACACAAUGAAUACUUGAACAAAGUUCACGAGCAUUGCUUGUUAACGGAGGAGUUUGAAGACAUAAUGACAACCAUAAACAAUAUGAUCGAAAUGUGUAUUCACAUACGGGACAGAUGGUCACGCAAGAAAUUAUUGUUAGCCACUGCGGAAUUGGACGUGAUGGAACACAGUUACAUAAAAUACCAUACGUACCUUGCUCUAGCUUUGCACAAUGCAAUACAG